AGUGAACUUAUUCCUUAUAUUUAAUAGUAUCAUAUAUAUACAGCCCACACAAGCAAAAGCCCAACAAAGCAUAACCCACCUAGCCCACCUUCAUCCUCUUCUCUCUUUUUCUAGUUCUCUUCCUCUCCCUCACGCUUCUCCCCAGCGCCGCCGCUCACACUGCCGCUCCUCCUCACGCCGGCCGCUGCUCCCUGCCUCCGGCAGCCGCCCCGCAGCCGCUGCCGGCCUGAAUCGGUUCCGUGGCUCCUCAUGAGUCUACCCCCCAAGCUAACCGUAGCCAUCAACCCCUCACCAGUCUCCAAUCGAUUCUGCUGCUGGCUACUGCUCUCAAUGACUGAGAUUGAAAUUUCCCAACCCCAGCGCCCCUGAUUCAAGCGUGGCUCAGACCAGCCGUCUCUCCCUCCCCGAGCUCCUCCUCUCUGAUCCCCUUCUAUCCCUACUUCUGUGACGUGAUCUGAUUGGUUGUUCUCUUAGGUGGUAAUCUACGAUGAAUUUUUAUACUUGUGAACAGGUUCUAAUAACCAACUGGAUGGUGCUAUUCCUGCUAUCUGUAGGUUCUAUAUUAUUUGAUUUGCUAUAAUUGGAUGAUGACUAUAUGCUAUGGAUGAAUGAGUGAAUGCAUGCUCAAAUGAAUCAAGUAUGCGCAUUUUUUUUAGUACUGAUAUUGAAAUCACAAAAACAGGAUUGGUCCUUUUUUAUUCUUAUGCAAUGGUAAUCAAGAUACUGAAUUUUCUACAUGCCACUAUACUAGCACAAUCAGAUCCUUAUAUCCUUAUGCUGAGUAGUAAUUCAGAGAAUUAAUUUGAAUUCCUGCAUACCAAAUGCAUCAUAGUAAUAUGACUAAAAUGAUCACAUGACCUAAAAACUAUGCAUCUUGAUUUUGUUGUCAAAUAUACUGACUACUAAAAUAACUGGUAAUUAAUUGUGUUCUAUGUUAUUGGUCUUAGCAAAGUUAUGCUGAUCAACUACUAAGGUUCAGAUCCUAAUGUUAUGCUCUUCUAGGACUUAUGAUUAGGACUCAUAGAUUUCUGUUUAUGGAUCUACAUUUAUACUAAAGAUGUACUUGUACACUUGCUAUUCAUCCAAUCCUACAGAUUCGGUAUUACUAUAUGAAGAACUAAAUACAUUGGUGAGUUUUGAGACUGCUAGUCUGCUAGUAUUUCUCACUGUGGCAUACGAUUUAUAUUGAUUAAUACUUACAGAACUAAUGUAUGUCAUGCUUUAAUCUAGAAUCAUAUGCUCUAGAUGCUCUGCUAUAGAGACUUAUAACCCUACUCAUUAAUUCUAACUAUUUAUAAUUUCAGGAUUCACCAAAGAGAUGCAUGUGCAGCUGUUUACCUAAAUGCAUUUACGUAAUAAUUCUAGACAAACUAAAAUGUUUCUUGUUACUAACCCCAAAUAAUUAUAAACUAGAAUUAACCUAUAUUUACUUUUCAGUUAAAUAAAAAUAUUUAUGUCCUACUAGUUGCACUUCCUACUCUGCAGCUCAAAUUACUUAAUAUUCUUGUUCAUCUUCUAAUGGAUGCAAAUGCAACUCACAACUCCUACACAUACUAGUAUAUGCAUCACUCAAGAAUCAUGUCAUGAUAUGAUUGUACUUUCAGUUUAAUCUCUUGAUUACCUGCCAUGAUUUUAGGUGACAAUUAUAUGGUUCCCUUCUCUGGUUCUGCAGCUACUCUUCUGGACUCUGAUUCAAUGGUUCUCCCGAUGGAACUGUGAUUUCUCCUCUUUGAGCUGAAGCACCACCUGCUCCUCCAGAAACUGAAACCCCUCUCUUCUUGAAGCUCAGGACUGAACACCUCUACUUCAUCCAAGAACUAAAUACCUUUGCUUCUCCUUCUUCAGAUUUGGUUUCUCUCUCUCUCUUUCUUGUUGUUUCCCUGUGGAUAAUAGGAAUGAGAUACGGUGUAAUUGUGUUGCUGGCUACUAAGCUACUGCUCUGCUAUUUUUCUCUGUUUUGAGCUGGUUUUACAACCGAACUGCUGGCUGCUACUACUGCUGCGGCUGAGGAUGCUGCUUGGGGUUGUUUUCCAGCCGAUGCAACCGAGACUGAUUCACAGAUAGCUGGUUAAUAUAUGUGUGAAUUUUUUUUGUGAAGGCUGGGUGACUCACCUACUUUAGUUUUGGUGGUUGUUUCACUGACUGACACCUAAGCAGUGUUUGAUCGGUGGUGUAAUGUGGGAUUUCACUAAAUUUUUCUAUUUAGAUAAAUUCUGAUACAAUUAGGUACUUUUGCACUUGAGUCCCUCGGGGUCUCUAAAAUUGAAGGUUACUCUGAGAUUAGGGACUAAUUUAUAAUUGUUCUAGAACUCAUAGUCAUUUUUGCAAGGUUACCAAUUCUCCAUAUAUUUUUGGUAGAUAAAUUUAUGCUUCUAUAUGAUGUAGCCGUGCAUCUAUUUGCUUGCUGGGAUUAAAAUGAUUUGCUCUAGUUUUA